UUCCAGAACCAUUUGUGGAUUUGCUAUUCUGAUUCUUACUUAUUUAAAAUAGUUUUGUUCGGGUAUUCUUUUAAUUUACAUAUUAUUCUUAGUUUCAUUCAGUCAAAGUUGUAUCUAUGUUUGUUGAAAAAAAGUGUUUUUUUUGUUUGUUGAAAAAAGCAACGGCAUAAUUAAAAAGAAUGAACAUGAUUUUACAUAUGGUAUGAUAUGAUUUAUGAAGGUUUUUGAAUGAUUGUUUAAAUUUUGUUAGAUAUUUUUUAUGUAUUAUCUUGUAUUAUUGUUCUAUUUGAUGUAGAUGUCCCUUUUUGAAAUAUAUUCUGAUUAUAUUUGACUUUUCUCUAGUUAGCAUUGCUUUUGUUUUGAUGUUUAGAGAGUAAUUUUUCUGUCAUUUAUAAUUGAGUUGGUGCUGUAUUUUGGGGUUGAUAAUGCUUGUUCUUGGUUGUAUAGUUAAAGUGAUUCAUCAUGGGUGAUUUUUUUCUUGUUUAGAACAUAGGUGUUUUCUGUUGUUCAUUGUCCUGCUAGUGCAUGCUUUGGUUCAACAAGAUUGUGGGGUGGUUGCCCCUUGAUAUUGAUUUUGGUUUAUGUGCUUUGGAAUUUUUGGUUUAUGUGCUUUCAAGAUAGGAUAGUUAACAACUCUUAGAUACAAACUAAAUCAAAUUAUAUUCAUUACAGUGUGUCACUUUCAAUUUGAACACAACAAGCUAUAUCUACAUAUUUUCACCAUAUGCUCUAACCACUUUUAUAUACACAGGAUUAGGCCAAGCAUGUACUGUUUAAAAGACAAGUACUCAACAGGUUCUUUUUGUUGGUCGUUUGGUACAAAAAUAAUGUGUUGAUCAUUUUAUUGUGAUUGCUUAUGUGUUUUAAAAAGAAGAUAAAAUGAAAUGUGAUGAAAGUGCAGGUAAAACAAGAUUGAGACUCCAACCAUAAAUGGAAAGGUAUCAACGUAUCAACGAAGAAGAUGAAAAUGAGGAUAUAGAUGAUGAAUUAUUUCAAGAGGAUGAUGUAAGUGGUGAAUUUCAAGAGGUUGACAUUGAUGAUGAAUUUCACGAUGAAGACACGGGUGAAGAAUUUCAAGGAGACUAUGUAGAUGAUGAAUAAUUUUGAAACAAAUUCUAAUGAGUAGGAUGAUUUUUUAUAGGUUUAUAUGAAUGCAUUAAACUUAAACAAUGUCAUUUUAUCAAGCAUUGUUAGAUAAUUUAUUUAUAACUACAUAUUUGAACUAAACUGUGAAUUCAACUUUAUUACCAAA